GUAACAAGGUAACCGUAGGGGAACCUGCGGUUGGAUCACCUCCUUACCUUAAAGAACUGU
rnacentral:rRNA from 2 species